AGAGUUUGAUCCUGGCUCAGAUUGAACGCUGGCGGCAGGCCUAACACAUGCAAGUCGAACGGUAACAGGAAACAGCUUGCUGUUUCGCUGACGAGUGGCGGACGGGUGAGUAAUGUCUGGGAAACUGCCUGAUGGAGGGGGAUAACUACUGGAAACGGUAGCUAAUACCGCAUAAUGUCGCAAGACCAAAGAGGGGGACCUUCGGGCCUCUUGCCAUCGGAUGUGCCCAGAUGGGAUUAGCUAGUAGGUGGGGUAACGGCUCACCUAGGCGACGAUCCCUAGCUGGUCUGAGAGGAUGACCAGCCACACUGGAACUGAGACACGGUCCAGACUCCUACGGGAGGCAGCAGUGGGGAAUAUUGCACAAUGGGCGCAAGCCUGAUGCAGCCAUGCCGCGUGUAUGAAGAAGGCCUUCGGGUUGUAAAGUACUUUCAGCGGGGAGGAAGGGAGUAAAGUUAAUACCUUUGCUCAUUGACGUUACCCGCAGAAGAAGCACCGG
rnacentral:rRNA from 1 species